ncrna:unclassified sequences RAGATH-18 RNA
CUUGUGGAGAGUUAUAUCAAACGAAAGUAGUCCAGACGAAAUCGGAUUCGUUGAAGCAAGAA